GCUAGAUGCUGUGAAAAUGGACUGAAAAGUGGAAAUUACAGUCAUGUUUAUAAUUGGCAGUUUUCAGGUUUUACAGAUGAAGGGCUGGCUCAAGUGACUAAGCAGUGUGAAACAACCAAUAAUGGAGUGUUUGACAGCAAGUUCAAACGGCACAGUAUGGUGAUUUGUGUAGUGUGCAUUUGCAAAUUAAGACAGCCUGGAGAGGACAUUUGGAUUAGACCAUCAAGCACCAAAGAAAACUUCUAA